rnacentral:rRNA from 1 species
UACGUAGGGUGCGAGCGUUGUCCGGAAUUACUGGGCGUAAAGAGCUCGUAGGUGGUUUGUCGCGUUGUUCGUGAAAACCGGGGGCUUAACCCUCGGCGUGCGGGCGAUACGGGCAGACUGGAGUACUGCAGGGGAGACUGGAAUUCCUGGUGUAGCGGUGGAAUGCGCAGAUAUCAGGAGGAACACCGGUGGCGAAGGCGGGUCUCUGGGCCGAUACUGACACUGAGAAGCGAAAGCGUGGGGAGCGAACAGG